UGUCAGUCCAUCAUGGUAUGCAGACUCUCUGCAGUAGAGUAAAUGCUGCCCACCACUGCAACACAUUCAGUCAACUUCCUCGGUCAAUAAGCCACCGACUCCACAGUCUGUACAUGGACAUUGGGAGCUGCAGUGAAACAGCACAACUUGGCCCGUACUUGCAUAAUAUAGAAAAAACAUGGGGAAUCGUGGCCACAACUGGUACUUAUUCACAGGUAUCCAGGCAGCUGCACCUUC